UUUAAGUCCCAGCCGCGCGGAUCAUCAGGUUAAGCAACUUUUGGCCAGGUCCAUCCUUGAAUGGGUGACCAUGCACGAAGCUGGAGUAUCAACAUUUUAAGAUACCUGUAUGUGUAUUGUACCGACUCGAUGACUACGACUGCACUAUUUUUAGUGGUACAUAAGUGUUUUCUUUUGUAAAUAUACUUAAAUAGUAGAUGGAUUAAACAUAUUGUUUUUUUGGAUGGAUUUCUUGUUUUUCUUUUUUGCUGAAAUUUACCUUUAUAAAACUUUUUGCCACGAGACAUUCAAACUUAUAUUGCGUAUACAUAUAUGAGACUACAGUUAGUUAAAGCGGAAUAUCCAUUUAGGCUGUUUUAUAAAACGAGUUACUUAGGUACAAGUGGAUAGAUUGUGUUAAGAAACCUAAAGCUUUAAGCUACACGAAAUCGAAGAGAAUUAAAUAUUGAUAUAGAUAAUAUUUCUUUAGCUUAUCAGAUACCCAUUCCUAUUGACCAAAAUAAGUACAAAGACUGGAUGGAUCUUUGUAAGACGCUGGUAAUUCCUAAGGAGUAUCAUUUAAAAAAAAAGGAGUAUUUUAUUUAUUUAUUAUUUAACUUAUGUACAUAUAUAUUUUUAUUCCAGCUCAGUUGAUAACCAUGUUAAAAGGAAAUAAACUUGCUCUGUACCAAGGUUACACGUAUUACAAGAUGAAAAAGAAUAAAAAGUGGUAUUGCACGUCAUAUCCUAUAUGUGAUUGUUAUGUAGAACUAAACUCUGACAUGGUGGUUACAAAUAAAAAGGUGAAAUGAUCACUAUGUUCAAUGGCAAAAAACUUCUCUUGUACGAUGGUUACACAUUUUACAGAAGGAAAAAUCAGAAGAAAUGGUUUUGCACUAGUUCUCCAUGCAGAUCUUUUGUGAUCUUUAAUGAUAAGUUAUCAAUUCUUCAUUAUCUGCCGGAACAUCGUCAUGGCAGGAAGAGAUUGGUUGAAACACCUAAGGGAUAUGUUCGUGUAUAAAAACUACUUAACUACUAUAAAAAAACGACGUAUUUUUUAUGUGUGUGAAUUAAUAUAAUGAUGAUUGUACAAAGAAUAUGCUGGUCGCAGCAAGUACAAUUUAUCAUGACAAAUGUUAUUGUAAACAGUGCAAUGGGUUUUCUGUUUUUAUGAAAUAAAUAUUUUUAUUAUAUUUAUUAAUUUUCUAAUUAAAUACGUGUGUUUUUCUAGAUCAGUCAGGUUAAGGUAUCAUUUUGAAGACAUUACAAAGUAUUCCACUUACGGCACCAACAUUUUUAGCACCAGUACACACUUCCAGCACCGAUGGGUAUUUACAUUGGUGCCGAACAGAUUGAUGCUAGAAAUACUGUUGCUGUAACUGAAGUUUAAUCUGCUAUACGUUUUAUUUUUUAUUGCCUUUGCCAUCAAAAAUUCAAUACCUUACCCCCGCACUCCGACUUUUAAUGAUUACUUAAGUCACUCCUUAGUGACAGAUUCUCAUAGAAAUUCUGCACUAAGGAACGGCUUAAGUGACCAUUAAAUGUCUCUGAGCGUGUCCAUUAGUGGUACGCAAUUUUCAAAUUGACAGAAGUUCCUCACCCAAACUGGUUACUAAAUAUUCCGUAAUAUUUUGUGUUUUCAGCUCAAAUGAUCACAAUGAUUAAUGGCAAGAACCUGCUCUUGUAUGAUGGUUACACAUUUUACAAUAGGGGAAGUCAAAGGAAAUGGUACUGUACAAAUUUUCCCUGCAAAUCUUUUAUAAUCUUUAAUAAUAAUUUAUUAGUUCUUGAUUACCUGGCGGAACAUCGUCAUGGCAAGAAGAAAUUGGUUAAAACACCUAAGGGAUAUGUUCGUGUAUAAAAAUACGUAUUUUUUUCAAGGAGAAAGAUAAUUUGUGGAAGAUUAAAGAGCAAUCAGGGUUAAAUGCUAUAACCCUUAUUUUAUACCUACAAUGUACUUAUUUGAACUUGUGGUCACAUUAAGGCCUAUUGUCACAAUAAAAUAACAUAAAAAACAUUUGCAGAUUUUUUCUUUUAUCCUUCGUUAUUUAAAAAUUAAAAGACUACUGAGGUAUAAAGUAUUAUAUUACUCUAAAAAAUAUUUACGAUUACGAAAGGAGACUUCAUUUGGCCAACAUAUGUAAGUAUAUACACAUAUAGAUUAGAUUUUUUUUAACGAUGGCAAUGAAUGGCGAUGAAAUAAAUAUUUUUAUUAUAUUGUUAUAUUUAUUAAUUUUCUAAUUAAACACGUGUGUUUUUUUAGUUCAGUCAGGUAUAAUUUUGAAGACCUUACGAAGUAUUCCACUUACGGUACCAAAGUUUUUAGCACCAAUGCAUUACACUUCCAGCACCAAUGAGUAUUUACCAUUGGUGCCGAACAGAUUGAUGCUAGAAAUAUUGUUGCUGUAAGUGAAGUUUUUUAUUGCCUUUGCCAUCAAAAAUUCAAUACCUUACCCCCGCACUCCGACAUUUAAUGAUUACUUAAGUCACUCCUUAGUGGCAGAUUCUCAUAGAAAUUCUGCACUAAGGAACGGUUUAAGUGACUAUUUAAUGUCUCUGAGCGUGUCCAUUAGUGGUACGCAAUUUUCAAACUGACAGAAGUUCCUCACUCAAACUGGUUACUAAAUAUUCCGUAAUAUUUUGUGUUUUCAGCUCAAAUGAUCACAAUGAUUAAUGGCAAAAACCUGAUCUUGUAUGAUGGUUACACAUUUUACAAAAAAUCUCAAAGGAAAUGGUAUUGUACAAAUUUUCCUUGCAAAUCUUUUAUAAUUUUCGAUAAUGAGUUAUUAGUUCUUGAUUAUCUGGCGGAACAUCGUCAUGGCAGGAAGAGAUUGUUUAAAACACCUAAGGGAUAUGUUCGUGUAUAAGAAUACGUAUUUUUUUCCAAGGAGAAAGAUUAUUUUGUGGAAGAUUAAAGAGCAAUCAGGGUUAAAUGCUAUAACCCUUAUUUAUACCUACAAUGUACUUAUUUGAGCUUGUGGACCUAUUAAGGCCUAUUGUCACAAUAAAAUAACAUAAAAAACA